UCCCUGGUAGCUCAGAUGGUAAAGCAUCUGCCUGCAAUGCAAGAGACCUGGGUUCAAUCCCUGGAUGGGGAA
rnacentral:tRNA from 1 species